rnacentral:hammerhead_ribozyme from 1 species
UCACUACUGAGGAGUCCUACAAUAGGACGAAACGGUCGUUCAGUGC